AGAGGGGUGCGGCUGUCAGCAAGGCGUAGGAGAGGGGAGAAGUCGACGGGAGUAGAGGCUUCGGUGUGUGGAGAUUGGAUGUCGUGGAGGGCCGAUCGGGUGAGGGAGGAGUUUGGAAUGCAGGCAGCUGGAGAUCGUGGGUUUCGGUCGUGGUUCUAGAGGGUGACGGGAUUGAGGAAGAAGGGGGCUUCGGUUUGGUAGCUAGAGGCGUCGACAAUGGAGAUGGAGAUCGGAGCUUGGCUAUGGCUGGAUGGGAUUCUCGCGUGGGAAGAGCUACGAAUAGAAUGAAUCCCCAACGACGGGAGUUGGGCUUGGUUUUAUAGGCGUUGGAGAGCAGUACUCGAGGGGCUGCCACGAGAUUUGAGCAGGAGUCCCGGAACGGCGCCGAAUGAUCAAAAGGAAACUUGAGCGAUAUAUCGCAUGUGGAUCGGAAUGGGUUACUAUCAGAUGAGGAAGUCUAGAGUAUUUGAAGAAGGAUAAAAUAAACAAAAUCAUGAUUCUACAGUGAACGCAUAGACAACUCUCCAUACUACCAGUUCAGUUCCAAGCACAAAAUAUAGGAGGGUAAGUAUAAAUUUAUAUAUGCAUUUUUACUCUUAUAUUUUUUGUUAAUUUAUUUUAUAUUAUCAGUGAAGUUGAAGCAGGGAAGAGAGCCUACCACCACAGAAUUGCAUAGCGAAAACCACUUUGACGAGCCCAAUCAAUUAUGAUGUUUAUUAGCUCUAAGGAGAAAUUAUUAUCAUUGAAUGUUGUAGCGCCCACCCCAUUUCAGUCUUCCUGUUAUGUCAUGAUAGCUCAUGGGAGUCAAUGGAUGGAAGGGGGGAUGAGGCAAUAUAGGCUCAUGCCGGAUAUUUCUCGAGAAGGAAUGGCAACCCACAGAUUGUUGAGGUGGAGAAUACAGUUCUUGCUUUAUUGAAGGGUAACAACCCAUAUAUUGUAGAGGUGGAUGCUAAAAUUUUUAUUUAGUAGGUUUAAAAUUUAUAAAAAAAAAAAAACUAUUUCAAUAUGUAACUUCCUUUCUUAAUAGGAUAUAUUUAUUUCUUCUUUUA